rnacentral:rRNA from 1 species
AGAUUGAACGCUGGCGGCAUGCCUAACACAUGCAAGUCGAACGGGAGUAGCAAUACUCUAGUGGCGGACGGGUGAGGAAUACGUAGGAAUUUGCCCUUAAGUGGGGGAUAACCCGGGGAAACCCGGAUUAAUACCGCAUGACCUCGAAAGAGCAAAGUGGGGGAUCGCAAGACCUCACGCUUUUGGAGAAGCCUACGUCGGAUUAGCUAGUUGGUGAGGUAAUGGCUCACCAAGGCGACGAUCCGUAACUGGUCUGAGAGGAUGAUCAGUCACACCGGAACUGAGACACGGUCCGGACUCCUACGGGAGGCAGCAGUGGGGAAUAUUGGACAAUGGGGACGCAAAGCCUGG